rnacentral:rRNA from 1 species
GCGAAUGACGGGGGCGCGGGGGGGGUAAUAGGGAGGGGGGAAGGUUUGUCGGUAAUGUUGGGGCGUAAAGGGCUGGGAGGCGUGUGGUCACGUCGGUUGUGAAAGCCCGAGGCUUAACCUCGGGUCUGCAGUCGAUACGGGCUAGCUAGAGGGUGGUAGGGGAGAUCGGAAUUCCUGGUGUAGCGGUGAAAUGCGCAGAUAUCAGGAGGAACACCGGUGGCGAAGGCGGAUCUCUGGGCCAUUACUGACGCUGAGGAGCGAAAGCGUGGGGAGCGAACAGGAUUAGAUACCCCAGUAGUC